rnacentral:ncRNA from 1 species
GCAGAGUAGGGAUCUGCGCGUCAGGCACAGCGGCAACGGCGCCGCUGUGCCGCAGUGCCUGGCCAACGGGGAGUUGUGGCAGGACGAAGAGGCCCGGCGGAACAUCCGUUCCACCGGCCCGCGGUGCCGGUCCCGCAUCCCACUGC